AGCGCCCGUGAGGCAGCAAGGCGGCCAUUUUGUCCCAGCAGCGAGAGGGAGAGUAUUCAUGCCCGAAAAACGAUGCUUCUCUCGGAGCAUGGAAUCCUCACCCGCGGGUUCCCUGUGGCCCCUCCCCAGGUGAG